CACAAUGCUCAUCAUGACAUCAUAGCGUUUCCUAGGAGGACCAGGUCUAUGCCUGUGUACUUGCACACUCAUUUGUGAGUUGGAUCAUGGAUCAUGGCAGGUUUGGGAACAGUAAGUACUUUGCAAGAAACUCGUGUGGCUGAGGUCAAAGAAAUUAUUAUGUCUGCGCAUUCUUGGCAGAUGCUUGGGGAGCUGUGCAGAGCUUUCUUCUUUUGCAAAGCAAAGCGAAGGAAAUGUGACUCGUCAGCCACUGGAAACAAGGGGAUGCACGUAGUAAGUGUACCUUGGGAAAAGAAAAGAAAUGCAAGGCUGAGACCCAUCUUUCUUUACAAGACCUCAUUCUAGUAUCAGCACAAAAAGACAAGAAGUCAACAAGAGUUAAUUCUUCCUUCCAAUAAAUUAAAUAUUAAGAGCUGUCA
rnacentral:lncRNA from 1 species